GCCAGUUCCUUUCACACAACUUUAGAACAUUCUAUGACAACCCAGUGUGCAACUUGGCACUGUCAGAAGAGACCUGGGAAAGAAAGAAAAUGCGGUGGAGGCUUGGAUGAACACAGGAAGAUUAUGGAGCAACACUUGAAGCCCAAAUGAAGCUCAGGACCCAGAGACUUCUCAAAACUUGUCUUCAAUGCUCGAACUCUUCUGCAGCCACCUGUUUCUACUGGAGUUUAGCCAGGUGAGUGGAAAUGGAACCAGUCCAAGUGGUAAACAAGCAUUUCUCCUGCCUCAGAAGCACCCAGGAACUACAAGCAUAAAUAUGCAAUAAAGCUGCACUGAGGGGAGUUUACAGAGUUGACCUUCUCUAUUGCAUCUGAUGUGGAUGAUGUGGUUAUUGUCUCAUAUCUGCAAAGCACAUUAAAGUUUAAUGCACACGUUCAUGAGAUUUCUUUGAUUGAAUCCUCACCACUGGGAAAACACUGAGAAAGCAUAUUUCCCCUUUUACAAGUGAGAAAAUAUGAGACUCGGCGUAGCUAAGAAAAUUGUCCAGUAUCUUAUAGCAAGUUCCAACUCUAUGGGUAUAUCUCAGUCAUUUAGCAUCUGCUCCAUCUUUGAGACUAAGUUUCCAGAAGACCUGAUUCAACCAGAAGCAAAAGACAAUGGCCAAGAAGAUGGCACAGCAUAAGAAUUUGGGAAAUGGAUAAAAACAUCCCAGAGACAUCCAACAAUUAGUAACCAUGUGAACAGAUUCUGUAAUAUUGGGUCUAUUGGGCUCUGCGGGAAGGUAUUCCCUUUGGAAAUGACUGAAAUGGAGAUUUUGAACCACUUUCAAUGACACAAGUUUGGGGUUAACAUGGAGAAGGUGCUUCACAGAAUACACCACGUUUCGAUAACUGUAUUCUUAUUGAAUUGUUCAAAAUUGGUCAGUGACUAAUAUUAGGCCUCUAAGAACAAAAUUUAUUAGCCUGUUUUUGUAUUACUGCUACAAAAUCCAAUAGUUUAAAUAGCUAGCUGAAUACUUUUGACGUUAAGGAGCAAAAUUCCGUGAAGAUUUUAGAUCAAGAGAGCUACCGCUGAGAAUAAACAAUGCAGAUUUGUGGUAAAGUGCAACGAAUUUGUUGAACUGCCAAGGCUUCUGAUCAUCACUGUUGAAAAAGUAAUGCUGACUUCUAUCUGAGCUUUCUCAUUGCCAACUAUUGAGAAUGUCUGGAUUAUCCAGAUGUUGCAACACAGUUGCGUUUUUGGCUUCACCACUCCCUCUGAGCUGUGAUUCUGUUUUUUCUUAUUGUUGAUGUUCUUUGUUUUUAAUAUGAGGAAGAUUUGUGUAUUAUACUUCAGUUUUAGUUUCCUUAAUCACAGACUAGACAAAAGAAAAUUGGCUUGGUUUCCAUUAGGAAACCACUUAGAAGCCGUUAUCAGAAUCGUAGACAUCACUGUGAACUAUGUCCAGGUGUUGUCAUGAAAGUAUGACAUCCUGGAGUGGAAAAGCAACCUGGGUUUCAGAGACUGUUUUACUCCUUUAUCUGGAUGUUGUUUUAGCUGCUAUGGCUCCAACAGGGUGAACAUAGCAUUUUAUUUAAUCUAAAUAUCUUUCUUCUUUUUUUCUAAGUUGUGAAACGUCAAUGACCACAUUUCAUCUCUAGCCUCUCGUGAGGUUUAAAUUAUACAAGGAAGAAAUAUUUACAACGUCAAAUGCUGACGAUUGUUGGGAGUCAGAAGUGAUUGUUCAGAAUCAGUUUUAAUGACAAGUCAGAAAUUAGAUGAAGAGAUGAAAUGUCAAGCCCCCAACGUGUUCUGAAAAGUUAAAUAACCAUCUUACAUCAGUUGGUACCUUUUUGAAAGGAUCCAGGAUGCAUAAGUGAUAAAUUAAUAAAAAGCACUUUAAAAAAUCAACAAAAACAUGGCAGGAAAUGGAAGAAAAGAGAAGCAAGGGAUGCAUUCUAAUACGUAUUAAGAACAAGCCAAAGUGCAAUAUUUGCUUUAGGGUUUUACUGUUCAUUGUAUCAAAACUGUCACAGAUUUUAGAUUUUUUUUUUUUAAAUGGGGAAAGUGAAUGAGGCAGGUAGAUAAGUAGAAAAAGUUGUGUGAAACUCUUUGAUACUGAAAAUAAAUAGUCGUACUUCUCUGUGACUGCAGUUAAACUUAUUCAAAGCUCAGUGUCCUAGUGGAAGAGUGGAAGUGAACCUCACAUAGUUGUUCAACUGUCCUUUGAGUAGGCAAAAAUUUCCACACAUCAUGUUUAUUGAUCAUGGUUUUUCUUUUCUUAGACUGUUAUUUUAAGAUCAGUACACACUUUGCCUCUUACCUCUACAAAAAGUGUAGGAUCUCAUGGUCCUGUGUAUGUGCUCUAUAAAAUCCAUGAUGAAGGAACCUUGUCUGUCUGUUACACAGCCCAACAGAGAAUAGAACCUGACACAGUGGAGUAGCAAAAAGCAUGUGUCAAAUGAAUGAAUAAAGAAUCAACUCCCUUUA